GCGCCUGGCGCUGGGGCGGGUGGUGGUGGCAGGGGUGUUGGACCGGCUGGUCUCGGAGGUCUUUUCUAACCCCAGCCGUUCUGUGAUUCUAUCUGGGGAUUAAUUGCAACUUUCUCUUGUAUCUGUGCGUGUUAAAGCCAGGUUUCCGCCGGCAGCAGCAGUUUACAAGAAGCAGUUUGAAGGAACGAACUGCACCGCGCUCAAAGUAAGGUUUUGACUGGCAAACAUUUCUGCCAGAAUAAUCCCUGAUUUCCUGAGGGUGUGGAUUUGUGGUCUGCUGUCAACCCCUGUUGACAGCGCACGACAGACGUUUUACUGCUCUGUUACGGGAAUUGUCCUGCUCCUGGCAUUUUCUUCUGGCAUUUAGGGCAGUAAUACAACAGCCUUUACCAUUAAGUGCUAAAAACAGAGAGACAGUACUCCAGCGGUGUGUUUUAGCCUCCUGUGUGAGCAUGCUGAGUUCCAGGAGUUGUACAUCACUAGGGAUAAACUUGAGAGCAAUCCAACCAGAGGCCCCUCGAAGCGCCGACGAUGCUGCUUUCCCGAGGCGCCUGCCGUGCAACUGAAAUGAGCUCAGCAGGGCUGUAACACACCAGUCAGGACACUGCCGCCUUCAGUCCUCUACUCAGAGGUGAACUUUUGUACAGGUUAUAUUAUUAUUAUAAAUAUUAAAGAAUUUUGAAUAUUA